rnacentral:rRNA from 1 species
UACGAAGGGGGCUAGCGUUGCUCGGAAUCACUGGGCGUAAAGCGCACGUAGGCGGCUUCUUAAGUCAGGGGUGAAAUCCUGGAGCUCAACUCCAGAACUGCCUUUGAUACUGAGGAGCUUGAGUCCGGGAGAGGUGAGUGGAACUGCGAGUGUAGAGGUGAAAUUCGUAGAUAUUAGGAAGAACACCAGUGGCGAAGGCGGCUCACUGGCCCGGUACUGACGCUGAGGCGCGAAAAGCGUGGGGAGCAAACAGGAU